CAGGGUGACGGCCGCCCCUGGAGCCGGGCCCACUCUGCCCUAAGGUUUCGUUCCUACACAAAGAGGCCUUCACCGGUGCAGUGCACACUGGACCCUUCUGUCUGUCAUCUUGGAAACCAGCAGGCUGUAAUAAAACUGCAGGAGCCAGCAGUGGGGAAUGAACCGUGCCGGGGAGCGCGGAGGUGGGCCUCCCGGCCCUGCCGUCGGCAGCGAGAACAAUGCAGCGGAAGGAACUGGAGUCAGCGGGCGGCUGGCUCGCAGGAGCGCGGCUGGGAAUGGGGCGCUGGCUGGGGGCAGGGGAUACGCGGGUUGCUGGCUGCCUGGGGUGUGCCGGGUUGUGCCGGGAGAUCUGGAGGGGCUGGGGAAAGUUCACCCAAGUGCAGCAAGUCGGCCUGGCCUGCCACGUGCCGACACCCAAGUCGGAGGCCUGGGCGGGUGGCAGCCACUGCAACUCCAUGGGGAAGUCAGCUGAUUCGCAGCUCCUCUGAGCAAACACGGGUGACCCAGGACGGGCAGGCAGACAGGAACUACACCAGGAGGCCGGAGACUUCACAGACAAAUUACACCUCGCUGUAUAUUUGUCAAGAAACCUUCAGCCAACAUCCGGGUGUUAGAAAUGACUCUGACUGGUGCUGGAUAAACCCCAGAUGCUCCCCUUCCGUUCAUGUGGCCCCCAGUCAAUCAGAGCACUGGGUUGGGGCCACGAAAGGACUUUCUCAUCUAGUGGAGGAAGCAGCCCACAGGUCUGAUGCCGUGAAGCUGGUUCGGAAAAAUCCGUGA
rnacentral:lncRNA from 1 species